UACGGGGGGGAGCAAGCGUUGUUCGGAUUUACUGGGCGUAAAGGGCGCGUAGGCGGCCACCGCAAGUCAGUUGUGAAAUCUCUGGGCUUAACCCAGAAAGGUCAACUGAUACUGCGGGGCUAGAGUGCAGAAGGGGCAACUGGAAUUCUCGGUGUAGCGGUGAAAUGCGUAGAUAUCGAGAGGAACACCUGCGGCGAAGGCGGGUUGCUGGGCUGACACUGACGCUGAUGCGCGAAAGCUAGGGGAGCGAACGGG
rnacentral:rRNA from 1 species